UUUUUGGAAGUUUUUUUAAUAUUCUAGUUCUAUUUUAACUAGUUUAUCUGUUUUUGUCCUGUUUACAUUUUUUUAAAGUUUGAGGGUCUUCCUCAACUUUCUCAAAAGAAGUGGAAGGAUGAGGCAUUUAUUUUGAGCAAGGAGAGGGGAAAGCUGGCAGCUGCUUUGAACUAAAUAUUUUGCUACUGAGUGAAGCUUUGUCUCUGUUUUGAGACUAGCUUUCUAGAUGGAUAAUUCCUUGUGGGUAAUUUUGUGGGAGUAUUCUGAACUGUAAGAUAGAUGCUGUCAGGCCAUUUUUUCUCAGGAGAGGUCAAGCUGGUCACAGUAGCAGGAAGGAGCACACAUUUCCUGUACCACAUACUGUAUGUGGUUUUUGAGAAUUUUUUUUAGGUUACAUUUUUAAUACUAAGUAGCUUGGGCACUCAUAUACAGUUUGGAUCCCUUUCUUUUGAAAGGAUAUGGCAAAUAUGACUUCUACUAUCACUGCUGACAUUUCAUUGAUUCCUUUCUGCUUAAGUUUUUUUUUCCUUGAUCUGAAUUUCUUUCAUGUUUUCUUGUUAAGGCUUUAUGACCAUCUUCAGACACACAUGGGAGUUUUUUGGGGGGAGCUAGAUUAUAGAUAAGAUGUUUUAGACCUGUAAAUGGUAAAGUCCCUGAGUCUGGGCCACUGAAAUCGCUAUGCUUUAAAAGUAUGUUUCAAAAGAUAAAUAUUAUGUAAAUAUAAAAUAACUAUUUACCAAAGAGGGAAGGAAAAAAGUAGAGUCCUAACUUGAUAAGAUACUGUAUAACUAGGUAAGGCAGGAGCUUAUAAGAUUUAAUUCAAGAUGAAAGAUCAUUUGAAUAUGUCAGGAAAAAAUGUCACUAGAUGGCACUGACUUCCAGCAUCUGCAGUAACUUCUUUGCUAUAUGCAAAUUGGACCUCAGCUGAAUCCUGUUAGGUAUCCAGUAUUUAAAGAACUGAAAGAAUUCAGAGCAAUACAAACAUAACAAUUAGGCUAGUUCUGUAUGUGUUGGAUACUAUUUUGAGGAAGUGGUUCCAAAAGUAUGUAGUAAAACUUGGACAGUCUUAAACAUCUGAAGAUUGCUGUUAAUAGAAACCCAUCUCAUUCAGUACAGUUUGUCAUGUCUGCUUCACUGAAUGCAAGUGAAGGAAACACCUAUGUAAUGUUCUUUCUUCUGUGCCAUCUCAGUUUGUUUCUUCUGAUGAGACAAGGUUGUGUUUUGGGUUUUUUUUUUUCUUUUCCCCUAUUUCUAGGUUGCUAGACAUCUGCUCCUACUUGCAUAGAGAGAUGCAGCAUUCGGAUGUUGGGCUCCAACCUCCCAUCCAACUCGUUGCCUUUCACUACUGAUUGCACAGGCUGCAGUCGUGUGUGCUACCACCUGCAGGGCGGUCGAGUGGUCCCCAUGGCCCAUCGUAGUGCCUCAUUAGUGUAUCUCAGCAUUUGUGGGGAGAUCGGCUACUUCAUUUCUAUGUAAGUUCUUUCCUUUUGCGCACUGUGAGAUUCUCUGCAUCUCCCUGCUUUCCCUGCUUUCCCUGAGCAAAUUCAGCUUAACAAAUGAGCAAAGAUUUACUGUUGAAUCAGCAUACAAAUACCUUACAUCAGUUUCUUAAGUGCAGACUGAGCAUGGGGCAUGAAUACUCUCACAUGCAGUGUCAGUUGUUAAGAGUAAGUUAAGAAUCUAUUCAGGGUUUUGCAACACAAAACUUUCAUUAAUUGUAUGCUGGGUAACUUAUUUAUUGGAUUCAUUCUACAGUAAAUGACGAGCUUCAGAAAUACGAGGGGAAAGCAAUUUAAAAUUAGUUACAAAAGAAGGGAGUCCCAUUUAGUGUACUGGAAUCUAACACUGAAUUUAGGAGCUAUUCUGUACACUGGAGGGUGGGGCGGGGGGAAACCUUGGGGCUAACCAAUAUACAAAAAACCUCUAAGAACCUCUACAGAUCCUAAUUAUUUUUCCCUCAGCCUGGAACUGAACUGCUGAAUGAUACCCUCUCUCCCCGCUAUUACUAUAAGCUACAGUGUUUUAGCAAGACUAAAUAUGCAAAUUUUUCUGGUUUCUAAAACUUAAAGAGAGAAUGGGAUCAGGACACUCAAAAUCUCAACCAAAUAGGGUACAGAUUGGAAUAGUUAUUCAGCAAUUGUUUAUCAUGUAAACUGUUCUAUUUUACACCUAAUAUACAGCAUUUAGAAUUGGUCUUGAGGCUGCCCUCAGUCAACCAUGAGCAACAUUAGCAGUAGUUCUCUGUAUUGUACCUCUGAGCCUGCAUCUUGUGUUCUCAGUUGAGACGGACAGUCUGCUCCUGGAUACUAAAGAAGAAAUGGCCUCUACUACCAGAAGACCCACAAAUUCCAAACACCUUUUGCAGAAAGAGAGAAGUGGUGGGAUGCACAGGAAAAAUUCCUUACCUGACUUAAGCAGAGCUUCCACAGAUUGUCUAUCCUCCCAACUCCUCCUGCCCAGCCUAUGUAAAUGACAAACGUUAAACCUAAUUAUCAAGAUAAGCAUGGCCUAAAAGCAGUUAUUGUACGCUUCAACUUACUCCAUCUUGGAUAUGGACUAAACCACAUGAUUCAGUUAGGGAAAUAAAAUGUUGUCACAGGAGUUCGGCAUGGCUAAAUUAGUAAGCUUUAAUUUCACACCUCACCUGAUUCUGCAACAACUUCCACACAAAUCCUCACUGAUUAUUAGUUUUGCAAGUAGUGUGUUUCAAAGGCGAGCUGCCAACAUAAAAAAAACUUUAUAAGAAGGUACAUCUUUCUCUUCUGCUUUUCCAUUUGGUAUAAGGGCAACAAAAAGCAACUCGAUCAUAAUGAGCUGUGACCUGAAAAUGAAUGAGAAUGAGAAAUGAAUGAUAAAUUAAUGAAUCAAGAGGUUGCAGGAGUUUGUUUAUUUUUGAUCCCAUCAUGAGAUGUCAGGCCAGACAAGAAUUCAGGAAAAGGGUCUUGCAUAUCAAAUUUACACUUGAUUUGAUCAGCUGAUGUAUUUGCUCAGUUUCCAUGAAGUAAGUCUAUAAAGCAGAUGCAGAUCAAACUAACCUCUUCUGCAGACCGUUUGGAAGACCUGAGACUCUUCUACAUUUUCUGCCUUUUCAGGAAGGGGCUUCUGCAGCAUUAGGCAAAUGAAAGACCCUAUACCUACAAAUCAUGUACUGCAAUGUCAAAAUGCUUAACCUUAAUUAUUUCACUCGGUCUUCACUUGCAACAGAAAGCAUGAUCAGGGAACUUCUGUCAUGAUGAAGAGGGUAGUCACAUACUUGACCGGCAACAGGGGUUCCGUAUAAUCAUUCCUGAAACACAGAUUUGUGUGUAAUUGUAUUGAUACAUCAACAAACUGCUUCAAAAUAAGAGUUAUAUUAACAAUGACAUGGACACAUUUUUAUUUUUUCUUGUCAGCAUCCAUUUCCACUACAUUGCGUUACCUUUAAAUGUGAACUGCCACAAUUCCUUUGUCCAUCUGGUUGGUGAAAUAAGAGAUCAUGCAUAAAUUCUAUGAAAAAGGUAUUCCUUUAUUUUAAAAAAGGACUAUUUUUUCCAUUACCAAAUGAAAACUUUACAAAGUAAAGCAUCUCUCUUCCAAUAAUAUUUUAAUAUAAAAACUUAAAUCACUUAUUCUGGUCUUACUGUUCUAACAGGAAGUCCUGUGGCACUGCAGGAAACUGAACUCAGAUAGUUUCAGCCUCACGCCAGUAUCUAAUCGUAAGUUCAUUACUACUUUCAAUAAAACCACUCCUGUGUGCCACUUACUAUUAGCAAAACAUCCUUAUUUCCAAAACAAAAAUAAAGGAAAGCAUGUUCACUAACCCAAAACAGACUAAACUCUAAUAGCAUUAUUACAAUGAGAAGCUUUGUUAAAAAAAAAAUUUAUUUUGAAAGUUAGACACAACCUUAAAAUUGUACAAAGACAACAAGCACUCAAAUUACACAAAGAGUUAGCAGUGAGUACAAUGGGAACACAGCAACAGUGAGUUUUGCCUCCUGUUAUAUAUAAAUAUAAAUAGAGAUCAUCCUUGCCAAACUUCCAGCUCUUCCACUUUUUCUCCUGAAAACCUGCUCAUUAUGCUACAAAACCUAGCAGGGAGUAUUUCACUGUUCAGUUCAACAGAAUUGUUAAAAGGGGCUCAGACUAAAAACAGUCCUUCUAUCAUGAGAAUAUCCCAUACUUUGCAGAAUCAAGUUUCUCUCUCAAUUGAAAAACAGCUUGCCCUUUCAUCAUGUCAAAUGUUUCACCUCCUCUAAAGACCAGCCAAAUUACAGGCUUCAAAAUGCUUAAAAUAUUAGAACUCACUCAUGGUUUUCCAGGAACAUGCAAACUGAAACUAACAUGGUGCAUACAUGUAAGUAGUCACAAAACAGAGAUUGUUGUUUUUGUCUCGUAUUUUACUCUUUGAAAGUGUUGUUCUAAGAAAAGCACUUCAAAGUCACUUUAGCUGUCCUUGGCUAAACUAAUAUAAGUACAUGGUCAGAGUAGGAAAAAAAAAAAUGUAAUUACAUUUAGAAUUUCAAAUAUAUUAAUAAAACCACCUGGCAGAAAAGUAUCCCUUAUAGCCAGCCCCUAUGUAAGUAUGUAAAAUGAAAAGCAGAAGUUCCUACCAUCCUCCCUUCA